rnacentral:rRNA from 1 species
AUGAACGCUGGCGGCGUGCCUCAUCCAUGCAAGUCGAGCGAACAGACGAGGAGCUUGCUCCUCUGACGUUAGCGGCGGACGGGUGAGUAACACGUGGAUAACCUACCUAUAAGACUGGGAUAACUUCGGGAAACCGGAGCUAAUACCGGAUAAUAUAUUGAACCGCAUGGUUCAAUAGUGAAAGACGGUUUUGCUGUCACUUAUAGAUGGAUCCGCGCCGCAUUAGCUAGUUGGUAAGGUAACGGCUUACCAAGGCAACGAUGCGUAGCCGACCUGAGAGGGGGGGCGGACAGACGGGAACUGAGACACGAUCCAGACUACUACGGGAGGGAGCAGGAGGGGAGCUGCUGCAGUGGGCGAGAACAUAACGGAAUAACGCCGCGUGAGAGAAAAAGGUGUUGGGAGCGUAAAAAUCUGGUAUGAGGUAAAAACAAAUGUGGCAGUAACUAUGGAGGUAGUGACGGUAAUUAAUAAGGAAGCCACGGCUAACUACGUG